CUACGGGAGGCACCAGUCGAGAAUAGUCUACAAUGGACGAAAGUCUGAUAGUGCGACGCCGCGUGGAUGAAGAAGCAUUUCGGUGUGUAAAGUCCUUUUCUGUGUGAGCAAUGUUUUCCAGGUUAAUAGCUUGGAGAAAGCGAUAUUAACACAGGAAUAAGCUCCGGCUAACUCCGUGCCAGCAGCCGCGGUAACACGGGGGGAGCAAGCGUUGUCCGGAAUUACUAGGCGUAAAGGGUAAGUAGGCGGAAUUGUAAGUCAGAGGUUAAAGGCACCGGCUCAACCGGUGUAUGGCAUUUGAUACUGUAAUUCUAGAGUAAGGUGGGGGAAGACGGAAUGCCUGGUGUAGCGGUGGAAUGCGCAGAUAUCAGGAGGAACACCAGAGGCGCAGGCGGUCUUCUAUACCAUUACUGACGCUCAAUUACGAAGGUGUGGGUAUCAAACAGGAUUAGAUACCCGAGUAGUC
rnacentral:rRNA from 1 species